UUUUGUCUUACGGCUUAAUAAUGCAUAUACAUAUAAGUACACCAAGGAAUCUUCAUGCAGUGAUGUUAAUAUGUGACAAAUGAACAGCAGAGAUCCGGAAACAACAUUUACAUGCAACAGCUUGGAGAUCAACAUAAUUAGCCAUAUGGCAAACUUGGCUGAGCUGUCAACAAAGUGUAUUGCACACCUAAUUUAUUCUGAAAACUUAUGCUUCUACAAAUUGUGACUGAUGAUUUUUCAUGUCACUCAACUUUUACAGAGCUUGACAAAUAAAGUAGAUAUUCAUAAUUCCCCCAGAAAGCUAAUAAACUGCAGUGAUGGAUAUGAAGUUCAGAUGUAGUCCACUGAGUCAAAGUAAUACCAAUAUAAUAGUUUGAAUCUCCCAAAAGUACAUGGGGAAGUGCAGAGUUGUGUCUUGUGAUCAUCCCUAAGGGGAUGUAUGCAGAAGAAUGAUAUUGGGACAAGAUUGAAAAAUGGACACGUAACUUCAGCUUUCAAUGAACUUUCAUGUUAAAAAGAUUCUUACCAAUAAAUAUCUCAUCUCCAAGAUAAAGGAGUUAGAAAUGCAA